rnacentral:rRNA from 1 species
CAAGGAAUUAAGAGUUUAUGGGGAAUACCUUGGCAUUCAGAAGCGACGAAGGACGUGGUUACCGACGAAACACUCCCGGGGAGCUGGAAACAAGCUAUGAUCCGGAGGAUUCCGAAUAAGGAAACUUUUUAUACUACUUAUUGAAUUCAUAGAUAAGCAAGAGCAAACCUAGGGAACUGAAACAUCUUAGUACCUAGAGGAAAAGAAAGUAAAAAACGAUUCCCUUAGUAGCGGCGAGCGAAACGGGAGAAGCCUAAACUUAAUUACUUAUUUAUUUAAAUAGAUUGAGGGUAGUGGGACGAUUGUUAAUAGAUUAGCACAGUUAAACGAAUAAGUUGGAAUACUUAACCAAAGAAAGUGAUAGUCUUGUAGUUGAAAACUAAAAUAAUCUCAAAUCAGAUCCCAAGUAGCAUGGAACACGUGAAAUUCCGUGUGAAUCUGCGAGGACCACCUCGUAAGGCUAAAUAUUACUGGAUGACCGAUAGUGAAACAGUACCGUGAGGGAAAGGUGAAAAGAACCCCGGGAGGGGAGUGAAAAGAACAUGAAACCAUAAACUUACAACCAGUAGGAGGACGACUAAAACGUCUGACUGCGUGCCUGUUGAAGAAUGAGCCGGCGACUUAUAGGUAGUGGCAGGUUAAGGCAGAGAAUGCUGGAGCCAUAGUGAAAGCGAGCCUGAAUAGGGCAUAUGUCACUGGUUAUAGACCCGAACCCGGAUGAUCUAACCAUGGUCAGGUUGAAGCUUAGGUAAUACUAAGUGGAGGACCCAACCGACUGAUGUUGAAAAAUCAGCGGAUGAAUUGUGGUUAGGGGUGAAAUGCCAAUCGAAUUCGGAGCUAGCUGGUUCUCCUCGAAAUGCGUUUUGGCGCAGCGAUAAAUCUUAUAACUUAGGGGUAAAGCACUGUUACGUAUGCGGGCUGGUAAUUCGGUACCAAAUCGUUGCAAACUAAGAAUACUAAGUGUACAGUUUAUCAGUGAGACUGUGGGGGAUAAGCUCCAUUGUCAAGAGGGAAACAGCCCAGAGCACCAGUUAAGGCCCCUAAAUAAUUACUAAGUGAUAAAGGAAGUGGGAUUGCGAAAACAAUCAGGAGGUUUGCCUAGAAGCAGCAAUCCUUUAAAGAGUGCGUAAUAGCUCACUAGUCAAGCGACUCGGCGUCGAUAAUAAUCGGGCAUAAGUCGGAUACCGAAGCUGUGGGAUUUAACGAUCGGUAGGGGAGCAUUCCAGUCAGCGCAGAAGCAGCGCCCGCGAGGGGCCGUGGAGCGGCUGGAAGCGAAAAUGUAGGCAUGAGUAACGAUAAGACGGGUGAAAAACCCGUCCACCGUAAACCCAAGGGUUCCUGAUCAACGCUAAUCGGAUCAGGGUUAGUCGAGACCUAAGGUGUACCCGGUGAGGCCGGGGAAGCCGAUGGCAAAGCGGUUAAAUAUUCCGCUACCGAAGCCAACGUAUGGCUAAGGCGUGACGCAGAAGUGACACUCCCGCGUGCUGACGAAUGCACGUUAAAGGGCGUAGGCCGGGGGGCAGGCAAAUCCGCCUCCCAUUAAGGUUGAACCCCGACAGUACUCGGAUUCUCACGAUGAAGAGAUAGUGGAGGUAAUCAUGCUGCCAAGAAAAGCGUCGUAGUUUGUUGUCUUCGCUCGUACCCCAAACCGACACAGGUGGGUGAGGAGAGUAUCCUCAGGUGCUCGAGUAAUUCAUGGCUAAGGAACUAGGCAAAUUCGAUCCGUAACUUCGGGAGAAGGAUCCCCUGACUAUGUCAGGGCGCAGUGAAAAGGCCCAAGCGACUGUUUACCAAAAACACAUGUCUCUGCUAAGCCGUAAGGCGAUGUAUAGGGACUGACACCUGCCCGGUGCUGGAAGGUUAAAGAAGGGGGUUAGCUUCGGCGAAGCCCUUGACUGAAGCCCCAGUAAACGGCGGCCGUAACUAUAACGGUCCUAAGGUAGCGAAAUUCCUUGUCGGGUAAGUUCCGACC